rnacentral:lncRNA from 1 species
CAAUUAGUGAUGGGACAAUACAUUCUCAGAAAAAAAAAAUCAGACCUCUUUCAACUCUCUCUCUUUGAACUUUCUUUAAUUUCCACAAUGCUUGCUUGCAGCCUCUCUUACGUAAGACAAAGAUAUCAACAUGCAACUAAAGAUCGGUGCUAUAGCUAGCUGCAUGCAUGUGAUGUGUGAACCAACCAAUUGAUAUCUUUGUCUUAGUUUAGACACUUUGCUAUUUCCAUGUUACAAUUAUUAAACUAUUGCUUAUAUUGUGUGUAACACUAGCGGUG